rnacentral:tRNA from 1 species
GGCGGAGUGGCCGAGUGGUUAAGGCGACAUUCGUUGGGUUCGCCCGCGCAGGUUCGAGUCCUGUCUCCGUCG